UUGACGGGGCCGCACAAGCGGUGGAUUAUGUGGAUUAAUUCGAUGCAACGCGAAAACCUUACCUACCCUUGACAUGCUAGGAACUUGCCAGAGAUGGCUUGGUGCCCGAAAGGGAACCUAGACACAGGUGCUGCAUGGCUGUCGUCAGCUCGUGUCGUGAGAUGUUGGGUUAAGUCCCGCAACGAGCGCAACCCUUGUCAUUAAUUGCCAUCAUUCAGUUGGGCACUUUAAUGAGACUGCCGGUGACAAACCGGAGGAAGGUGGGGAUGACGUCAAGUCCUCAUGGCCCUUAUGGGUAGGGCUUCACACGUAAUACAAUGGUCGGUACAGAGGGUUGCCAACCCGCGAGGGGGAGCCAAUCCCAGAAAACCGAUCGUAGUCCGGAUUGUAGUCUGCAACUCGACUGCAUGAAGUCGGAAUCGCUAGUAAUCGCGGAUCAGCAUGUCCGCGGUCGAAUACGUUCCCGGGCCUU
rnacentral:rRNA from 1 species